rnacentral:lncRNA from 1 species
AAAGUAAUACUAUAUUUCUUACAAAAACCUCGAUGAUUUCUUCUUCACCAUUUCUUUUCUUUCUCUUCUUCUCUCGCUAGUUUACUAUCUCUCUCUCUAUUUCUUCUAAACCUUGAAAAAUAGAAGAAAUAGAAGUUUAGAGAGGAAAGGAAGGGGGCAAUUUAUAGAAUUUUAGAACUAUUAGAUUCACGACAAAUGGUAAAAUCAGAUGAAGAGAGAGGAGAAAAAUAUUCUUGGAAUAAAAAACUAGGGAGGAAAUUUUUGUCCACUAGUGGUGGCGGCGUACCGCCCAAGGCUGCGGCAGUCCCUACCUGAGGUGGCAGAGCCUUACCAGUGCGCUGUAGGCUAGCCUGCACGCGUGCAGGCCUCAGGCGCACAGGGCCUAUCUGUGCAGGCCUGCUGUGCGGAUGACGCGUGCCCAGUGUGCUGAAGAAGUGGUGGCAAAGGUCCCUAUUUAUAGAAAAAGGAAAUCCUUGGAUUUUUGGUAAGUGACGCAAAUCCAUGAGGAGAGAGGGAGGAAAAAAGUGACCGAUGCGACGUGACAACUAACAUACAUGACUGAUAGACUGCUGAUAAGAUGAUGUGACGGUGGCAUGAAGACCAAAGCACGCUGGCUGAGGGACGACGCACGCCUCCCAAACAGAGGUGGCGCGCAGGCUGAAGAUAGCGCACGCACCCCAAAGGGCAACGCACAUGACCCAAGCUU